GGGUCUUUAAUUUAGUAGUUUAAAAUACCCCUCUUUCUAAAAGAGAGACCUAGGUUUAAGUCCUAGAAGACCUA